rnacentral:rRNA from 1 species
CAAUAGCGUAUAUUAAAGUUGUUGCAGUUAAAAGCUCGUAGUUGGAUUUCUGGGAGGGUGCCAAUGUCCGUCGUCGUACGUGUUGCAGCGGCGCCCUUCCAUCCUUCUGUUAACGACUUUGGGCAUUCAUUUGCCGGAGUCGGGCUCAGAUAUUUUACCUUGAGAAAAUUAGAGUGUUUCAGGCAGGCUAGGCCGGAAUACAUUAGCAUGGAAUAAUGGAAUAGGACUACGGUCUCUUUGUUGGUUUGAGGGACUGCAGUAAUGAUUAAUAGGGAUAGUUGGGCAGGUUAGUAUUUAAUUGUCAGAGGUGGAAUUCUCGGAUUUGUUAAAGACUAACUUAUGCGAAAGCAUUUGCCAAUGGAUGGUUUUCAUUAAUUCAAGUAAACAGAAAGAUUUAGGGGAGUCAAAGAUGAUUAGAUACCA